rnacentral:lncRNA from 1 species
CCCUUGUAGCUCUUUUUUUCAGCUUCUGGCCAACUUCCAGACGGGAAAUGACCCCAUGCCAUCACCACCGGAUGUAUAUGCAAGUUCUUACCGAUAUUAGGGUUCUUCAAGCCGCUCUUUUUAAGCAGAUGUGGGGUACACAUUGCUCCACAUGCUACGAUGGUCACUUUUGAUUUAGCGAAACAAACUUGUUUUGUUCCGUCUUGGUGUAUGAACUCAAAGAGGACCCCUUUCGCGGUGCUCCGAUCUCUACCUUUCUUCCGAUUAUGAAUAACCUCGACAGCCUCACACCCAGGUAAGAUCGUACCGUUUCCGGAUUCGAUUAGGUCUACUAGCCAUGUCUCCGAUAUGUACCUUUCUUUCUUCCAUCUUUGCAACCAAGGCAGCACCACCCACAAUAGUGAUCUGGAGAUGAGUUUCUUGGAAUGUUAUCAACAGGAUACCCUAAUUCCUCACACCCUUUUCUUAAAACCAUGUUAUUGAACCCUUCAUCUUUCACUUGAGAUUGC